rnacentral:rRNA from 1 species
UACGUAGGGUGCAAGCGUUGUCCGGAAUUAUUGGGCGUAAAGAGCUCGUAGGCGGUCUGUCGCGUCUGCUGUGAAAACUCGGGGCUUAACCCCGGGCCUGCAGUGGGUACGGGCAGACUAGAGUGCGGUAGGGGAGACUGGAAUUCCUGGUGUAGCGGUGAAAUGCGCAGAUAUCAGGAGGAACACCGGUGGCGAAGGCGGAUCUCUGGGCCUGUCCUGACGCUGAGGCGCGAAAGCUAGGGGAGCGAACAGG